UUCUGAUUUGAAGCAAGCUCCGGCACAGUGCUUCAGAAAAAUAGCCUUCCGAGUUUGAAGCCAGCUUCGGAGCCUCGGUAUCAGAGGGAACAUCACUAGCAUUCUGGAUUGAUACCUGCUUUUCCCCCAGUUCCUCGCUACACCUCUUCUGUUCCUCCUCACCACCGCAACCACAGAUUACCAUCCCCGGACCAUAUGCCUCGUUGCCCUUCCAGUCUCCACUAGUCAGGUCGAUGCACAGUCCUUCAAGCUGUCUCCAAUCACAAUCAUCCUCUACUCCAUCUCCUCGGCUUGUUUCCAUCUCCACCGACCAGCCAGUCUGUCUCUAGACCACCAGACAGUUUCUGCAGUGUCUCGCAUUCGUCUGUCAGAGAGGGAGGAGGAGAGUCUGUCCUGUUACCUCAGGGCCUGUGAUGCUGCUCUGUCCUUCCUGCAGAAGCUUGAUAAGAUAGUGACGACACCUCACAGCAAGACUGCCAAAGGCAGUCUGCCCCCUCCACCUGUGGACAUUGAGCUGGGCUACUUUCUACAGGCUGUUCUACAGAGUGCUUUUGUCUGCAGGGGGGUGCUCACCAGCUGCUUAGGGUGCUCAGGGUGGUGGAAUCACAAGGGUCUCAGAGCUUCAAGAAGUCUGCAGCAAGGAAGUUAGCAGAGAUGCUGCUGAGUUCAGUGAGCAAGGACAGCUACUGGCCCUCACUGGGCCCCCCACCCUCAGCCUGGCUCCACAGAGAGGGAGCUGCCUCCUCCAAAGAUGCCAUCUACCCUACUGUUAAAACAACACAGCAUUACAGCACUGAAUGGUUUGUAUUGUUUCACUCACACUUUCAGCCUACUGUAUUAUACAGUAUCUCUUAUCUAGUCUGGCCUGUGGUCAGUGUGCUAAGUGAAACUACUUAACCUAAGCUCAUCAUUUAAGAUGUUUAAGGCCUCCUAUGAUUGUGUUUUGUUACUCACCUGUAUCAUCUAACUACUGUGUACCAAGCAGUUAUCUCUGCAAGUGUCAAUUUUCAUUGUCAGUUUUGCUUUCAGCCCAUACUUCAACCAAA